CUGAAGCAGUUCGGUUUGGAAGCCUGACUGGAGAGAGCUUAAGAGAACGGAAAGUGAGGCCAUAAGGACAUGUUCUUACCAUGGCUGAACUACUAAGUGAAGUUUCUGACUGCCUGGAAGUUCUGGAGGCCAUUGAUGAGGGAAAGAAGAAAUCCAAAUUUAAAGCCUUCAAGAGCUUUUUUGGCAAGAAGAAGAAAAAAGAGCCUGUAGAUACCCAAAGAGGGAGGAUGCUAAAACCAAGCUUAUCCAGCAGCAAUAUUAACAUCUGUUCUCUGAAGCCAGUUCAGGAAGGUCAACCAACUGAG